rnacentral:rRNA from 1 species
UACGGGGGGGGCAAGCGUUGUUCGGAAUUACUGGGCGUAAAGGGCUCGUAGGUGGCCAACUAAGUCAGACGUGAAAUCCCUCGGCUUAACCGGGGAACUGCGUCUGAUACUGGAUGGCUUGAGUUCGGGAGAGGGAUGCGGAAUUCCAGGUGUAGCGGUGAAAUGCGUAGAGAUCAUGAGGAAGACCAGUGGCGAAGGCGGGUCUCUGGACAGUUCCUGACACUGAGGCACGAAGGCCAGGGGAGCAAACGGG